GCUUCCUGUGGAUGGUUUUCUUGAUGCGAACUAGGCUGUUCUCAUUGGAAGAGGAGGAGGAGCUCCUUGCCUCACUGUCUCUGGGAAUGGCUGCAGUUUUCAUCAGGGGAGCUCUGAUCUUCACGCUGAACGCCACUCCCUGGCUCCAGUGUGGAUCCCUCGGCUUGGUGGCACAAAUCCUUCAUCUCACCAACAUAGGUUUUCUGGCUUCCACCACUGGCCUUUGGGCCUUCCAGGCUAAUGAUGCUGUGGUAUGAUGAUUGUCUCUCUCACAAUGCUGGACAGCAAGCAGUGAGUCAAACCCCCCAGUAAGUCACAAGACUGAAGGGAAACAACAGACUGCAGUGUGCUGUGCCGCUUACUAUGACUGUCCAUAGACAAGGUCUCACUGUGUUGUUGCCCAGACUGUUCUUGAACUCAUGGUGAACUCAAGUGUGGGGGACACUGCCAGGAGUGAAGAUUAAACCGAAUGAUUAAACUGCAGGACA
ensembl:lncRNA